ACCUUAAACUACAAGCAAGGAAACAUAGGAGCAUUCAAGGAAAACGAUAUGAACAUGCAGUAACAGCAGACUGAAGAAGAUCAAGUGAAGUAGUCCAGGGUGAGAAUCACAGUGCAGCUCUCCUCUGGCAUGGAGGCUGUGGAAACAAUAGAUAUUCGAUGUAAAUUCCAGCCUUUCCAUGCCAAAGGAGAGCUGCCCUGCCAUUCAGUAACCCUGCAACAGGAAUGCAUAAUCCCCAUAUAGUGGAGCUGUUCAAUUUUCAGUAGAACAUUGUCAAGUGUACUGCAUGAAGGUACGGUGGAGAGAUUAUUGCUAGCAGAUCUGGAGUGAUUGAAAGCCAGAGGCCCCUGACAAGAGUUGAAGCUAUGAUAAGAUGCAUGGGCUAACUGCAGAAGAAGAAAAGACAAGUGUUGAAGGCAGAAAUCAGAAUCACCAAGCAGAAAAGAAACCCAAACCAUUAUGUAGAAAUGACCUUUAAAUCUUCUCUUGAGGGACUGUCUUGUGUGUGGCGACCAUUUCUUGAUCCUAUUGUCCAACACUAUAACUUCGUAUGCAUAGAGAAUGCAAAAACUGCCAUCCUUAUUAGACUCCCCA